rnacentral:rRNA from 1 species
UGGGGAAUAUUGGACAAUGGGCGCAAGCCUGAUCCAGCCAUGCCGCGUGGGUGAAGAAGGCCCUAGGGUUGUAAAUCACUUUCAGCGGGGAAGAUGAUGACGGUACCCGCAGAAGAAGCCCCGGCUAACACCGUGCCAGCAGCCGCCGUAAUACGGAGGGGGCGAGCGUUGUUCGGAAUUACUGGGCGUAAAGGGCGCGUAGGCGGCACAUCAAGUCAGAGGUGAAAGCCCCGGGCUCAACCUGGGAAUUGCCUUUGAAACUGAUGAGCUAGAGUCCGGAAGAGGAUAGCGGAAUUCCCAGUGUAGAGGUGAAAUUCGUAGAUAUUGGGAAGAACACCAGUGGCGAAGGCGGCUAUCUGGUCCGGUACUGACGCUUAGGCGCGAAAGCGUGGGGAGCAAACAGGAUUAGAUACCCGCGUAGUCC